rnacentral:rRNA from 1 species
AGCUCCAAUAGCAUAUAUAAAUGUUGCUGCAGUUAAAAAGCUCGUAGUCGCAAUCAACAUCAUCGCUGGCGAGUCGGAUACUCUCCGACCCUCGUUGAUGGGUGGAGAGGGGGCACUGUCCCCCUCCUCCACAUUACCGUGAGUAAAGCCUUUACUUUCACAAAGUGGUACAGACAGGAAAACUUCCUCGUCACUACGUUAAGCAUGGUAUAAUACCCAUAACACAGGAGUAUGGUUAAAACCGGAUCCCGGAGUUAUUAAUAGGGACAGUCGGGGGCACUAGUAUUGGUUGGCGAGAGGUGAAAUUCUUAGACCCUUCCAAGACUAACUAUUGCGAAAGCAUCUGCCAAGGAUGUUUUCA